AAUGGGGCAGCCAGGGGUGCUUGAGAACAGAUGGGGCCGGUCACAGUGGCCCACACCUGUAAUCCCAGCACUUUGGGAGGCCGAGGUGGGCGGAUCACUUGAGCCUCCCCAGAGGUACAAUGAGGCUUGAGAGGUCCUCUGGAGUCAGAAGAUGCCACCACCCCAGAGGAUGUGAGCCUACCUGUGGAGGCCUUGAUCCCCACCACUAGGAUGGGGCAGGUUCCAAGACUACUUUGGUGGAUCUGAGAAUAAAUUCCUCAAGGCAAUGUCCUUGCUCUGCCCUUCUCCAGGGUGGGACCCAGAGUUACUGGCCCCUCCAUCCCAUGGAGCUGAUUCUGCAACCCUCACUUCCUAAGCACAUAAAUCUGGAACCACUGGUUAAAGAGAAGUCUGAGAGCCAAAAUACACACAGCCAGCUGUGAGUUACUUACCUGCCUUACUCAGGAAAAGGACAUGGGCUGCUCAAGCACACACCUCUUUGCCAACUAUGCCAGCAUUUUUACCUUCAAGGCCGAUGUUCUCAUCAUGUUAAGUACAUUUGAGUUUAGUUUCACCUGGACAACAUGUGGGGUGUGGGCAGGCAGUGAGAACACAGAUGGUAGCCCUCAAUGCAUCCCAGCCUGAAAAGCACAUGAGUCAGCCCUUCCUUCCACUUACCCACUACCUCUCACGCUAGUCGUUGUCUUUUUUUGUUGUUGUUUUUGAGACGAGUCUGGCUCUGUCUCCCAGGUUGCAGUGCAGUGGCGCCAUCUCGGCUCACUGCAAACUCCGCCUCCCAGGUUCGAACAAUUCUUGUGCCUCAGCUUGCCGAGUAGCUGGAACUACAGGCGCGCAUCACCGCGCCCGGUUAAUUUUUGUAUUUUCAGUGGACUGGAUUUCACCAUUUCGGCCAGGCUGGUCUCGAACUCCUGCCCUCAGGUGAUCUGCCUGCCUUGGCCUCUCAAAGUGCUGGGAUUACAGGCGUAAACCACCACACCAGACCUCCCUGGUCUUCUUAAAGUGAAUCAGUCCGAAUUCCUGUAAUCCAUGUAACUGCUUUGAGUGACUCUGGAACCCUCUUUGAAGCCCCCACAAAUACCUAAAAGAGGAGCAGGAGCCCUACAACACAUUCCCCUAAACUGUGUUCCUAAGAACCAUCCAGCUACCUGUGGAACCCUAAGGCCCCUUCCUUAUGCUCUUUACCAAUAUCCUGGCAAUGGUUGUUUGAGCCUAGUUAAUGACAGAAGCUCCAGCCAGAUGCUGAUGGGGGUCCUCUACGAAAAGACACCGCCAUUCCCGAGGGUGAUACUGCAGCGACCUAGUACUUGUGCGCAUAGAAGCCAAGGGGAAAUUGCCCUACCCUAAACUCCAGUGAAAAGCCCUUUGCAGUCCAACAGGCUUGCAUUCACAUCGCAGCAGUGUGGGGUUUGGACAAAUUCCACAAUCUGAGUCUGUUUCCUCCUCUAGAACGCGAGUCUAUGAAUUCCUGUCUACUGCCUGGAAGUGCCGCUGUCAGGACUGACUAAGAUAAUGUGUGUACUUUCGGUGCACAGGGGACGCUCAACACGUGCGAGCUUCCCUUGCAGAAAACCAAGAGAUGAAAGGCUGGGGGCCGCCCCUGCCUGGACGUGCAUCCCAUACUCUCCGAGAUCAUCUCUCCCCAGCUAGCGCUUACUCCUGCCCAGGAACUAGAUCCUGGGGCCUCCGGCCUCGAGCAAUCACUGACCUGGGAUCACGAACAGAUUUCAAGCAUCAGGAAGAAGGUGGGAGUAGAUGGCAGUGAAGGUGCCUCCCAACUGGGAGAUGCAGUGUGCAUUGGCUGGGAUCUUCUUCCUCGGCUCCCUACUCCGCCACUACCCCAGAACAAACUCCUACCUCUAUUUGCAACUAAGAGUUACAUCCCCCAUGCCAAGACCUUCCGAGGCGUCCCAGAGGGGCUUGCUGGGAGGAUCAAAUGAGAUCAUCCACAUCAGGGUCAGCACAGUGCCCGGAAUGGGGUACCUGUGAAAUUAAUGGGAAAUUCCUCACUGCCGGACUGCACCCACCCUUGAGGACCUCACAAUCUCUUUGUGCAGAGCAGAAGCCAGACACAGACAGGGACUACGAAGCGACAAUCCCCAGCCCUGUGUGUUCAAGGAGCCCCCGAGGGGCAGGCGGCCACGCUGCAGAAGGCUAGCCUCUCCGACCCCCAGGGAGCAUGGCGUGGGCUGCAGGGACAGAACGCUUCUCAGAGGAGGUAGGGACCCCAUGGAGUACGUGACGCCGGGCCCUCCAGCUGCAUGCUCCAGUUAGCAGGACAGAGACCCCUCCCCACCCAUUCCCAGCCUUCCCUGGCUUCCUGUUCUGCUGCUGGGAGGCCCUGUCACCACACAUGCGCGUGCACGCGCUAACACACACACCCCUCCCAGGCACCCCCGGAAGACCAGCUGCAGCUGGGGGUGGGGGUGCACAGAGCACAGCCAGGGUUCUCAGAUCCCUAGCCUGCUCUCCCACCCUGCCCUAGCCCCCAACUGCCGAGCUGCUUCUAGGUUUAAAGCAAAACAUGACUCUGUCCUUCCUGCUGCUCAGUGGCAGCAACACUGCCUCGGGUUAUUUUUAGCAGGGAUGCAGGGAAGGCACAGUUCUCCUUGACUUUAACUAGGGACAACCCCCAACCCCCCGCCAAGACUCACUGGAGGAGGCCGGGUACGGAAACCCCCCUCCCAGAAAGGGGAAAUGGUGUGUUUUCUGUUCCUUCAAUUCACUAGAAUGGGAGUUGCAGUCAAGCUUGGGGUUGAACUGAUGGGAAAUUCUAGGUUCCAAAGCCUAUGUAUGGGCUCUGCCCCAUUCCUGGUCUCUGUGUUUCCAUGAAUCUGGGAAGCCAGAGGCACACAGUGUCUGGAGUCGAGGUGCCCCGUCUGUGGGUGUUGGGGUCCCUGGGAAACUGUUUGGUUAUAGCCAGGCUCUGUGGACUACACAGGGGCACCAGGCAUUGUGGGUGGUGUUUCACAGGCGCUGGCUAAAUAUUCAUUAAACUGAGCAUGUCCAUUCUGUGU